UUGCAGGACCACAAACAAAGCUUCCAACAACCAAAUGAAAAGACAGGUCAUAGUUCAAAAGAAGAUAAAAGAAUGGGAAAGCUGUAACCCAACAGAUAAAUCUGGCUAUUGACGAAGUCGCCAAAGGACUUAAUGGGCUUGAUUCAAUCUCGCACAGUUGGCAGCAAAUACCCCCACACUCAACGUCAGAAGAAAACUAGAAGCUUAGAGAGCAGAAA